GCCAGCGUGAUGUAGUGGUUUGAGUGUUGGACUGUGAAUCUGGAGACAAGGGUUCAAUUCCCCACUCAGCCA